rnacentral:rRNA from 1 species
UGGGGAAUAUUGGACAAUGGGCGAAAGCCUGAUCCAGCCAUGCCGCGUGUGUUAAGAAGGUCUUCGGAUUGUAAAGCACUUUAAGUUGGGAGGAAGGGCAGUAAGCGAAUACCUUGCUGUUUUGACGUUACCGACAGAAUAAGCACCGGCUAACUCUGUGCCAGCAGCCGCGGUAAUACAGAGGGUGCAAGCGUUAAUCGGAAUUACUGGGCGUAAAGCGCGCGUAGGUGGUUCGUUAAGUUGAAUGUGAAAGCCCCGGGCUCAACCUGGGAACUGCAUCCAAAACUGGCGAGCUAGUGUAGGGCAGAGGGUGGUGGAAUUUCCUGUGUAGCGGUGAAAUGCGUAGAUAUAGGAAGGAACACCAGUGGCGAAGGAGACCACCUGGGCUCAUACUGACACUGAGGUGCGAAAGCGUGGGGAGCAAACAGG